UUUUUUCCUCAAAAAAACAAUGACCAACUCUGUCCUGCAUAGAGAUGAUGACAUACAUUGUUAUGCUUUUGUGAUUCUAUUAUCCCAAAUAGUUUUCAUAUUCCAACAAGGGUUGUGACAUGUAUAAGCCUGCGAAAGAAGAGUGAAGUAUCUCGAUGUAUACCUUAACGAAUGGAGAUUCUGACCAAAACUGAAGGAAUCUGUGGGAGUAUAAGCCGCAAGAAGAGAAGCUUUUGGCCGCCAUUGAAACCAACAACGCACAAAUCACUCUAAUUGAUCUUCUUCGAUACGACUGAUGAGUGACGAUACAACACACAAUCAAAUCCAGUGAAAUCAAAACCCCAAACGCACAUUGAAUCGCGCAAACGAAGCUCACUGAUACUUAGUUAGAAAAGCUUUUCUUAUAUUUCCGACUCUAAUUCUUCCAUGGAUGGAUCAAUCCUUCUCCCUUCCAUUCACUUUCAAUUUCAAUUUCAGUUUUAGUUUCAGAGUUACAUUUUUUUGGGGUAGGUUUUUCGAUUAU
rnacentral:lncRNA from 1 species